rnacentral:sRNA from 1 species
GUGGAGUCUCGAGGCUGUAGCUUCUCUCUCUUUCAGGUUUCUAGGUCUGAAUCACAAUUGUUUCUCUGAAGAUGAAUCCACCAGCCAGUGCAGAAGCCAGGACAAGAGGGAGCAGCCAUGCCUUAUGUGAGCCUUUGGUCACUGAGUCCCGUUCUCCUGUCAGCAGCACUGGGAAAUGGAGAGACAGUAUUCAGGGAGGCACACUUAUUCCUGCUCCACCAUCACCCUUCUAUGUGGCUAUCACAGAGCCAGGGUACACCAGAAGAGAGGGAGACUUACCAUCUUCUUUUAGAACCUGAGCUGUUGCAGCUGGGCACACCCACCCUGAGCAGGUUCAGUGGCUGCACCACUCUGUCCUGCUUCACACAGGUGGCUGAGGCUGGAGGCAGAGGCUCAGCGACUGAUCCACCCAUCAGCUGUCCUGUGCUGCCCUCUGCCGGCCGGUGGGGGACAAUCCACCCAUCAGCUGUCCUGUGCUGCCCUCUGCCGGCCGGUGGGAGAUGAACAGCCACCUAAGACAAGAGACCCGGAAUAGGAGCCAGCUGACUGCUUUUACAAACAAACUGGUAAGAACCGGUUUUCGAAGGAGUUCUCUAACACGUGAGUCUUGGUCUCACAGAGAAAGGGUAAGGCUGGGAAAGCGACUUCUUUUCAGAAAGUCUGUGAGGCCCUUCCACUCUGUCGCCGAAAGGGAGAUCAGGAAGCAGCAGUGUUCUGAGAAGCCCUUUAACUAUUGAUUUCCAAUCUCCCCACCAGUGGUAAAACUCCCAGAAGGCCGCAGCUUCGAGAUUCAGGUUUUCCACCUUUAAAACAGAGGAGAUUGUGAAAUUGUGGAAUUCUAAGAGGCUAAGGGAGACCAUCCCAGAAGACUGCGCGAUACAAUGAAAGAUCAGCAGAUCCUAACAAAUACAUCUACACCACAGCUCCUGCAUCUACGGCUGAGGAAACUUGGAGGAAGUAGUCGUGGGAGGAUGUAAAAGCCCAGCACCCCUGUCAGACUCACAGCUGCCAGUAACUGCAGACCCAACACCCUCUCUGGCCUCUGAAGGCACUUGCAUUCAAUAUGCUCAUACCCCACACGGACAUGUAAUUUAAAAUAAAGCAGAUUUUUAAAAGAAAGAAACAUAUCAACACAGGGGUGGGUGUUAUACCAUUUCAUGUAUUAAAAACAGACCAAAGAUAACUUAAAAUGCAGCCAAGAACCUGCACCGGUGACCUGCACCUGGUGGGGCCAGCCAGCCCUGACUGGGUGACAACUCACAGACUCUGCCAAUGGCCCUAGUCUUGUGCACAUGUCCUGGAGCCUUCAAAAGUCACAAAUGACCGUCACAUCACAUUGUCUUGGGAUUUCUACUGCAGUGACGCCAUAACCAGAGCAACUUGAAGAGGA